GAUGAACGCUGGCGGCGUGCUUAACACAUGCAAGUCGAACGAAGCACUUUAUUUGAUUUCCUUCGGGACUGAUUAUUUUGUGACUGAGUGGCGGACGGGUGAGUAACGCGUGGGUAACCUGCCUUGUACAGGGGGAUAACAGUUGGAAACGGCUGCUAAUACCGCAUAAGCGCACGGCAUCGCAUGAUGCAGUGUGAAAAACUCCGGUGGUAUAAGAGGGACCCGCGUUGGAUUAGCUAGUGGGUGAGGUAACGGCCCACCAAGGCGACGAUCCAUAGCCGACCGUAGAGGGUGACCGACCACAUUGGGACUGGGACACAGCCCAAACUCCUACGGGAGGCAGCAGUGGGGAGUAUUGCACAAUGGGCGAAAGCCUGAUGCAGCGACGCCGCGUGGGCGAAGAAGUAUUUCGGUAUGUAAAGCUCUAUCAGCAGGGAAGAUAAUGACGGUACCUGACUAAGAAGCACCGGCUAAAUACGUG
rnacentral:rRNA from 1 species